UCUAACAUGUUUUUUCUGGUCCCUACAUCUCAGGUCUAUAUUAUUGACAUUAAAUCAACGUUGAUUUGAUGUCAGGAAAUAAGACGUCAAAUUGAUGUGAAAUUUAUGUCAAAACAACGUCUGUUAAAAUGUCUGAAAAGGUAUAUUAUUAGCCUACUCAUUGUAAAUCGACGCGAGUUUUUCAACAUCCUGACCCACACAGCAGAGGGUUCCAAAACGGACCCUCUGCGGCGGACUCCGUGCAGAUACGCACAUCGAACGCGCCCUUUCCAGUCCUAACGGCUCCUUCAGUUUUCAAAUUUCUCGUUGAUGAAGUGGAAGACGAAACAGCGGCGUCUGAAGGCUCACUGUCAUUCACAAGUGGCUCCAGUCUGGUUUGGGGGUUCUGCCAUCCAAGUAAAGUUAUUCACAAGUGGCUCCAGUCUGGUUUGGGGGUCUACGCUUUCUCAUCCUGUCCUGCC